CAGCCGUAAACAAUGUGCGUUAGGUGUGUCGGUAACCACGCGUUACUGAUGCGCCGAAGAGAAAUCGUGAAACGCACCACCUGGGGGGUACGGUCGCAAGGCUGAAACUUAAAGGAAUUGGCGGGGGGAGCACCACAACAGGUGGAGCCUGCGGUUUAAUUGGAUUCAACGCCGGACAUCUCACCGGAUAAGACAGCUGAAUGAUUGUCAAUCUGAAGGUUUUACAUGACUAGCUGAGAGGAGGUGCAUGGCGUCAGUGACU
rnacentral:rRNA from 1 species